rnacentral:rRNA from 1 species
AACGAACGCUGGCGGCAUGCCUAACACAUGCAAGUCGAACGAGACCUUCGGGUCUAGUGGCGCACGGGUUCGUAACGCGUGGGAACCUGCCCUUAGGUUCGGAAUAACUCCCCGAAAGGGGUGCUAAUACCGGAUAAUGUCUUCGGACCAAAGAUUUAUCGCCUUUGGAUGGGCCCUCGUUGGAUUAGCUAGUUGGUAGGGUAAAAGCCUACCAAGGCGACGAUCCAUAGCUGGUCUGAGAGGAUGAUCAGCCACACUGGGACUGAGACACGGCCCAGACUCCUACGGGAGGGAGCAGUGGGGAAUAUUGGACAAUGGGCGAAAGCCUGAUCCAGCAAUGCCGGGUGAGUGAUGAAGGCCUUAGGGUUGUAAAGCUCUUUUACCCGGGAUGAUAAUGACAGUACCGGGAGAAUAAGCUCCGGCUAACUCCGUG